AAGACCUUGCGCUUUUGGAGCGGCCGAUGCCUGAUUAGCUUGUUGGUAAGGUAAAAGCUUACCAAGGCUUCGAUCAGUAGCUGGUCUGAGAGGACGGCCAGCCACACUGGGACUGAGACACGGCCCAGACUCCUACGGGAGGCAGCAGUGGGGAAUUUUGGACAAUGGGGGCAACCCUGAUCCAGCCAUGCCGCGUGAGUGAAGAAGGCCUUCGAGUUGUAAAGCUCUUUCAGCCGGAACGAAACGGUUACGGUUAAUACCCGUGACUACUGACGGUACCGGAAGAAGAAGCACCGGCUAACUACGUGCCAGCAGCCGCGGUAAUACGUAGGGUGCGAGCGUUAAUCGGAAUUACUGGGCGUAAAGCGUGCGCAGGUGGUUUUGUAAGUCAGAUGUGAAAGCCCCAGGCUCAACCUGGGAACU
rnacentral:rRNA from 1 species